rnacentral:misc_RNA from 1 species
UUGAGGAAGUAAAAGUCGUAACAAGGUCUCCGUAGGUGAACCUGCGGAGGGAUCAUUACACAAAUAUGAAGGCGGGCUGGAACCUCUCGGGGUUACAGCCUUGCUGAAUUAUUCACCCUUGUCUUUUGCGUACUUCUUGUUUCCUUGGUGGGUUCGCCCACCACUAGGACAAACAUAAACCUUUUGUAAUUGCAAUCAGCGUCAGUAACAAAUUAAUAAUUACAACUUUCAACAACGGAUCUCUUGGUUCUGGCAUCGAUGAAGAACGCAGCGAAAUGCGAUAAGUAGUGUGAAUUGCAGAAUUCAGUGAAUCAUCGAAUCUUUGAACGCACAUUGCGCCCUUUGGUAUUCCAAAGGGCAUGCCUGUUCGAGCGUCAUUUGUACCCUCAAGCUUUGCUUGGUGUUGGGCGUCUUGUCUCUAGCUUUGCUGGAGACUCGCCUUAAAGUAAUUGGCAGCCGGCCUACUGGUUUCGGAGCGCAGCACAAGUCGCACUCUCUAUCAGCAAAGGUCUAGCAUCCAUUAAGCCUUUUUUUCAACUUUUGACCUCGGAUCAGGUAGGGAUACCCGCUGAACUUAAGCAUAUCAAAGCCGGGGAGGAA